rnacentral:rRNA from 1 species
AACGUAGGAGGCGAGCGUUAUCCGGAUUUACUGGGCGUAAAGCGUGUGCAGGCGGUUCGGUAAGUUGGAUGUGAAAGCUCCUGGCUCAACUGGGAGAGGUCGUUCAAUACUGCUGGACUUGAGGAUGGUAGAGGGAGGUGGAAUUCCGGGUGUAGUGGUGAAAUGCGUAGAUAUCCGGAGGAACACCAGUGGCGAAAGCGGCCUCCUGGACCAUUUCUGACGCUCAGACACGAAAGCUAGGGGAGCAAACGGG